rnacentral:sRNA from 1 species
CUGGAACCUCUCGGGGUUACAGCCUUGCUGAAUUAUUCACCCUUGUCUUUUGCGUACUUCUUGUUUCCUUGGUGGGUUCGCCCACCACUAGGACAAACAUAAACCUUUUGUAAUUGCAAUCAGCGUCAGUAACAAAUUAAUAAUUACAACUUUCAACAACGGAUCUCUUGGUUCUGGCAUCGAUGAAGAACGCAGCGAAAUGCGAUAAGUAGUGUGAAUUGCAGAAUUCAGUGAAUCAUCGAAUCUUUGAACGCACAUUGCGCCCUUUGGUAUUCCAAAGGGCAUGCCUGUUCGAGCGUCAUUUGUACCCUCAAGCUUUGCUUGGUGUUGGGCGUCUUGUCUCUAGCUUUGCUGGAGACUCGCCUUAAAGUAAUUGGCAGCCGGCCUACUGGUUUCGGAGCGCAGCACAAGUCGCACUCUCUAUCAGCAAAGGUCUAGCAUCCAUUAAGCCUUUUUUUCAACUUUUGACCUCGGAUCA